rnacentral:rRNA from 1 species
GAUGAACGCUGGCGGCGUGCCUAAUACAUGCAAGUCGAGCGAACGGACGAGAAGCUUGCUUCUCUGAUGUUAGCGGCGGACGGGUGAGUAACACGUGGAUAACCUACCUAUAAGACUGGGAUAACUUCGGGAAACCGGAGCUAAUACCGGAUAAUAUUUUGAACCGCAUGGUUCAAAAGUGAAAGACGGUCUUGCUGUCACUUAUAGAUGGAUCCGCGCUGCAUUAGCUAGUUGGUAAGGUAACGGCUUACCAAGGCAACGAUGCAUAGCCGACCUGAGAGGGUGAUCAGCCACACUGGAACUGAGACACGGUCCAGACUCCUACGGGAGGCAGCAGUAGGGAAUCUUCCACAAUGGGCGAAAGCCUGACGGAGCAACGCCGCGUGAGUGAUGAAGGUCUUCGGAUCGUAAAACUCUGUUAUUAGGGAAGAACAUAUGUGUAAGUAACUGUGCACAUCUUGACGGUACCUAAUCAGAAAGCCAUGGCUAACUACGUG